GACAGGGGGUGCAAACGUUGUUCGGAAUUACUGGGCGUAAAGCGCGUGUAGGCGGCCAUCUAAGUCGGGCGUGAAAUCCCACGGCUCAACCGUGGAAGUGCACUCGAAACUGGAUGGCUAGAGUCCUGGAGAGGAAGGUGGAAUGCUUGGUGUAGAGGUGAAAUUCGUAGAUAUCAAGCGGAACACCGGUGGCGAAGGCGGCCUUCUGGACAGUGACUGACGCUGAGACGGCGAAAGCGUGGGGAGCAAA
rnacentral:rRNA from 1 species